rnacentral:rRNA from 1 species
UACGUAGGGUGCAAGCGUUGUCCGGAAUUAUUGGGCGUAAAGAGCUCGUAGGCGGUCUGUCGCGUCUGCUGUGAAAACUCGGGGCUUAACCCCGGGCCUGCAGUGGGUACGGGCAGACUAGAGUGCGGUAGGGGAGACUGGAAUUCCUGGUGUAGCGGUGAAAUGCGCAGAUAUCAGGAAGAACACCCGUGGCGAAGGCGGCCUGCUGGGCUGUUGCUGACGCUGAGGCGCGACAGCGUGGGGAGCAAACAGG